UAGUGGAAAAGUGAAGCAAACACUCCUAAAUAGAUUUACAACCUAUCGCCUACUUAAUAUCUCAGCCAUCCCACU
rnacentral:tRNA from 1 species